AACGCUGCGCGUUAACGUGUCUCGCAACCAAGUGUUUGCACUUUGGCUUUUUCGAACAAUAAGAGAACGAGAACGAGAACGAGAACGAGAACGAGAACGAGAAGAAGAAGUGACUCGCGUGUCUUUAGUGGGGAAAAGAAAAAAUAAAAAAAAAAAAAAAAAACCAUCAAGUAUUUGUCGGCUACGGGUUGACGAACUUGAAAGAUUCAGGAACGCGAUAAUUCUCGUCCAAUGGAAUAAACAGCAAGUGCUCUUUCGUUUUAAAAAUAAACGGAAAUCAAGUGAAAAUGAAAAGUAUUUCGAGCCGAAAGGGCUUUCGAGCGUAGCUAAUUCGGUAAGGACGCGAAUACGAAGUUGGUUCAGAGACAACUGGGAAUAUUCGGUCGAAACGAUUCAAAGUGACGUAAAUAAUCGUUUGAAAUGGCGCGGCGAAUAAAAACCGUUUCCGUUCGAGCAAACUCGUUGCAUCAGUUUGCCUUACCUUGUUCGCUUUUGCUCGCGAUGCAUCCCCCGAGGCGAGUCAAUUUCAGAAGGAGAGAAAUGAAAAUAUCUAUUCGUCGAAACGACAAGAAAACUACGCCAAGCAGCCUGGUAUACAUAUAAAUCAACCCGUUAUGUGUACAUACUUACUCGCUCCUCGACGAGGACGCGACGCGACAUGGGGUUCGCUGCAAACAAUUUGCCUGAAAUUGCCGUACGUGCGCGAUUCGUGGAGAUAAGCACUGGAGAGAACGGAAACGGCUCUCUUGAGGACACGACCAAGCGUCAUCUCGUUGCUACCCUCGCUACCUCUUCUUCGUGUCUUACAAAAAUUUCCCUCCACGUUACUUUGCACACUUGUCAACUUUUACCAAAGACCGAGGAAAAAAGAAGGUUGAUCGUCUACUUUGCUUAGAAAUUCUCCAAUUAUCAUUUUUUUCGCCUUUCUUAACUCGUUCAACUUGAACGGUAACUGAAAACUAACACUUUCCUCAAACGUACACUAAUUUUUAGAAACACAGAAAAAUAUAAAAUUUUCAAUUUCA